UUACUUGAAAAUGGUUAAGUAUAGUGACUUGAAAUGUGAAUUAAUUAUUUGAAAAUGGUUCAGUGUAGUGAUUUGAAAUGUGUACUAGUGACUUGAAAAUGCUUAAGUGUAGUGCUUUGCAAUGUGAAUUAGUUAUUUGAAAAUGGUUAAGUGUAGUGACUUGAAAUGUGUGCUAGUGAGUUGAAAAUGGUUAAGUGUAGUUACUUAAAAAUUG
rnacentral:lncRNA from 1 species